rnacentral:lncRNA from 1 species
UGUCCUGGAGGCUGUGGACGAUUUGAAUUCGCAUUUCUCGUAUCUUGGUAGUUUUGUGGCUGUGGUUGUUGCAUUCUCUCGUAUUGAAGGUAUGUCGGAGCCUGUUGGUAUGGUUGGCUUUGGUAACCUCGGUUCGUGUCUUGCUGGCUGGAUUGGCCAUAAGGGCCAUAUGGUCGACGAUAGUCAUCUCUCCUCCGGUCAUUUCGAGGUGGUCCUCGGUAGUUCCAUGUGUUCCUCUCGUUUGGAUACUGGGGCCGAUCAUUCAGAUAUGGGGGCCGAUUGCUCAGAUACGGAGGCCGAUUGUCUCUUCGAUUGAAAUUGGAUACUUGCUGCACCUCAGUGUACAUUCUCUGUCGGCAAAUCUGAGCUGUGUGUC